UUUUUUUUUUCCCCUGAAUAUGUGUUUUUUUCCCGCACAUUAAUUUCUCCGUGUUCUUUUUUCAGUGGUGUAUUUGCUGGAUAUGUACUACUUUGCUCGAGUGCAUUGUUUUUGCCGGAUAUGAUUUUUUUUUUUCUUUUCCACAUGUACAGUAUUUUGUCUGCAUUUGUUCUAUCUUCUUGAGUCUUCUGGGUUAGUCACGUUCUGUAAUGGUUAUAUAUUCUUCUGCAACCUUCCUUCCUUGAAUUUCCUUCUUUUUUUUAAUUCUUUUGGUGCAGCUGUUAGUGUUUUUUUUAUGACACUGCCCGGUAAAUUAUUUUGGCUUCUGCAAUCCUGGAAAAUAUUUUAAUGUUCAUAUAUUUAGAGUUUAUUUGAGAAACCCUAGAUUUUUUUGGGAUAAAUUUUUUUGACACGCAAUCUCUCCUAUUCUCCAUAACCGUCUUCGAGCAACUGUAAAUCUCAUCACGUUUCUUCCUCACCCCCACUUCUUUUUCAGUUUUCCUUUUCCUUUGGGUCUAUAAAGGAUCGGCAUUUGUGGACAUAAUCAUUCACACAUAUCUUUUUGGAGAUUCCCCUGCAGAAAAUCUCUCUAUUUUCCCGGUUAUUCCAAUUUUUUUUUAAUAUGUAAGCAAUGUUUUCUAUAUCAUCAACCAAAUAUCUUACUCUACACAAAAUUAUAUACACAAAUAUGUAAUCAAUGUAUAUGUUUCAAAUGUAUUUUAGUUUUAUUGGGGCUGAGCCCCAGAAAAAGUUAUCUUUUUUCUUUUCUCCAUCAAGAUGUAGUCUUUAGCAAAUAUAAUUCUAUAUUUGGUUAAUAUAGAACCGCGAUGAAGAGGCUCUGAGUAUAUAAUUUUUUUCUUAUUUGGUUCAUCCUUCAAUAUAUAUUGUGAAAACAGGUAAGUUACUAAAUGAAUUUUUUUUGCGGUGUAAAAAAAAUUCAGGCGAGAUAUUGUGGAUUUACUUAGUAGGAUAGGAAAGUUAAAGAAGAAACCAUAAUCAUCAAUUAGUAGCAGCGAUAGGUUUAGAUUUCUAUUAUUUGAUUUAUGUUAACACCUUUGAGAAGUUUGUGAAUAUAUGGUUCUUUUUUUUAACAGUACCGAAAUAAGGGGUCUUUUUUUUCUUCCGUACAGCUACUUGGCUUUUACAAGUUUCGAAUACAUUAACUUUCGUUGUGCAGAAUUGAGUCAUCGCUCAAAAGUCUUCUGAGAGAGCUCUAUGGAUCAGCUCCUGGGCGGACAAACGGGAAUUUGGAUUUUUUGAAUAUUUAUUUCUAAAAUUUGUAAAUAUUUACUUUUACAAACUUUUACAUAUAACUGUGGUUGUUGGUUUACAACAGCUAAGCCAAUAACUUUUUUUAUAUUCUUUUAAAAUGUUAUUUUUAAUUUG
rnacentral:lncRNA from 1 species